rnacentral:rRNA from 1 species
AUUGAACGCUGGCGGCAUGCCUUACACAUGCAAGUCGAACGGCAGCACGGGAGCAAUCCUGGUGGCGAGUGGCGAACGGGUGAGUAAUAUAUCGGAACGUGCCCAGUCGUGGGGGAUAACGUAGCGAAAGCUACGCUAAUACCGCAUACGAUCUAUGGAUGAAAGCGGGGGAUCGCAAGACCUCGCGCGAUUGGAGCGGCCGAUAUCAGAUUAGGUAGUUGGUGAGGUAAAGGCUCACCAAGCCGACGAUCUGUAGCUGGUCUGAGAGGACGACCAGCCACACUGGGACUGAGACACGGCCCAGACUCCUACGGGAGGCAGCAGUGGGGAAUUUUUGGACAAUGGGCGCAAGCCUGAUCCAGCAAUGCCGCGUGCAGGAUGAAGGCCUCGGUUGUAACUAGCUUUGUACGGUAACGAAACGGUA